rnacentral:rRNA from 1 species
UACGGGGGGGUAAGCGUUGUUCGGAAUUACUGGGCGUAAAGGGCUCGUAGGCGGCCAACUAAGUCGGACGUGAAAUCCCUCAGCUUAACUGGGGAACUGCGUCCGAUACUGGAUGGCUUGGAUUUGGGAGAGGGAUGCGGAAUUCCAGGUGUAGCGGUGAAAUGCGUAGAUAUCUGGAGGAACACCGGUGGCGAAGGCGGCAUCCUGGACCGACACUGACACUGAGGAGCGAAAGCCAGGGGAGCAAACGGG